rnacentral:rRNA from 1 species
UACGUAGGGUGCGAGCGUUGUCCGGAAUUAUUGGGCGUAAAGAGCUCGUAGGCGGCUUGUCGCGUCGGAUGUGAAAGCCCGGGGCUUAACUCCGGGUCUGCAUUCGAUACGGGCAGGCUAGAGUUCGGUAGGGGAGAUCGGAAUUCCUGGUGUAGCGGUGAAAUGCGCAGAUAUCAGGAGGAACACCGGUGGCGAAGGCGGUUCUCUGGGCAUUACCUGACGCUGAGGAGCGAAAGUGUGGGGAGCGAACAGG